UGUGGGGGCUGAAAAGUCGUAUCUAGUGGAUGGGGUUGGUUGGUUCAUAAAUAUAUUUCAUAGAUAUCCACUCAAAUGUGAAGAGUGCAAAGUUGAAUUAUUAUUGGAAAAUUAAUACCAUACCAUACUUAGCAACUACUAGUACUAUUAUUUUCCGAAAAAACACUACUAGUACUAUUAAUAUAAGUAGAGAAAAAACAUAAAAAGAAAAAAAAGUUGGUGGAGGGUGGAGGGUGCACAAUUAUUGGCGUCAAAUGCUCAUUGGGCUCCGAUGCUUGGGCCGUGUUUGUUGGGUUCCUGACUGUCUAUUGGGUUUAAUCCAUUUGUACAUUUCUUUUAAUUUCCGAGAGAAAAAAAAAAAGCUUAUUGGGUUUCGCACUUUUGAAGAAUUCCAAGAUCUGCACUCACAAUUUCAAUUAUACUGAAAUGAAAACACACUCACACACGGUCACAGCCCUUGCAUAGCCCCCACUCCUUUCCCCCUCCCUGCUUCCCCAUUGGUGUUUUUAAAGAGAGAAAGGUAGAGAGAGAAAGAGAGGGCGCUAAAAACCAAAAGCAAAAGUAGUAGUGAGGAGAAGUAACAGGCAGCGGAACCAAUUAGGGCUCCGUCGGAAAGUGUUUGCCAUUUAGAAAGAUCUCCAUUUCGUGGGCCUAGGUUUUCUUUGGGUUCCAGGUGGGAUGAAUAUACUGGGAGCUUUAAUGCUGUGAAGUUUGGAGUUGUGCGUACUGUAAUUGGAUCGAUUGGGGACUUAGUUUCUCGACUUUUGGAGUUUUGGGUGCGAUUCGGUGCUGGGUUUGAAUGCUCUUCUUGAGUUUCUACUUUUGGUCAUUGUUGUCUGGUGGUGUGUGUGGUUAGGGGUUUAGACAGGUGACGUGUUCUGCUAUUUUGUGGAUAUGCCUCAAUCUGUUGAGCUGGGGAAUGUAGGGUUUUGAUUGGAUCCUUUGGUUUGGGCGGAAUUUUGGUGUCUGGUCUUUGGUUAUGGCAAUUUCAAUAUUGCAUCUAUGGGGGUGAAGCUCGAAUCUUUGUUGGGUAUAAAUUCUAGGGUUUCUAUAGUGUAACUAGGUCCAUUCAAACUCUCUUCGCCCAUUCUUCUUCCACCUCUAUAUCGCCGGUGUAUCUCACUAUGGAAAAGAAAGUAAAUAUAUUGAUGGUGGUGCUGGUGAUGUUGAUGCUCAUAGAGCAUUCAGCAGCUGCAUCUGGAUCUGGAUCUGGAUCGUGCGAAGCUAAUUGCUCUGCUGGAUGCAUAGACAAUGUCGUAGAUCUGGUCGGUAAAUGUUUCAUUGACUGUAUAAAGGAUAGUUGUCGUCCACCGGCCAGCUUGGGACCUAAGCCAUCAAGUACUGCAAUGUUCUCUCCGGCCAGGUGGUUAUUUUUUAGUAUCAUUUUGGCCUUCUGUUGGUCAAUUUAAUUGCUAAUCUUUCAUCCUCAAUAUUUACACGAGUGUCCCGCGAUUGUAUACCAGAAAAGAUAUUAGUAUUUAAAUACGAUCUCAGUCUCACUUCUAAUGUAUUUUCAUUGGUAGGGUUUAACACAUCAUUGAUAGGUGUGUUUUUGCGCUUCACCUAUGUUGCCACUACUCUGAAGGCAUGAAUAAAUUCAUUGUUAUAUUGAUUAUUUAUCUAAA